rnacentral:snoRNA from 1 species
UCCAGCUCUCAGUCAGCUGUCCAGACUGUGUGUGUCUGGCUCAGUGUUACAGUGCUGGUAGAGAAGGUCCUGUGUUGUGCUUCACUGCAGCGGGUUCUGUUUUAGAGUCCGCUGCUGCUGAGCUGCUGCAGGACUCGGCCCAGUGAGAGUGGACUGUCCUGAUACUGACAGCAGGGCAGGCCUAGUACAGGGCCAUACAAC